UACGUAGGGUGCGAGCGUUAAUCGGAAUUACUGGGCGUAAAGCGUGCGCAGGCGGUUUUGUAAGCCAGAUGUGAAAUCCCCGGGCUUAACCUGGGAAUGGCAUUUGGGACUGCAAGGCUCGAGUGCGGCAGAGGAGACUGGAAUUCCUGGUGUAGCAGUGAAAUGCGUAGAUAUCAGGAGGAACACCGGUGGUGAAGGCGGGUCUCUGGGCCGAUACUGACGCUGAGGAGCGAAAGCGUGGGGAGCGAACAGG
rnacentral:rRNA from 1 species